AGAGUUUUGGAAACCUGGCUCAGGAUGAACGCUGGCGGCGUGCUUAACACAUGCAAGUCGAACGAUGACCUGGUGCUUGCACUGGUGAUUAGUGGCGAACGGGUGAGUAACACGUGAGUAACCUGCCCUUAACUCUGGGAUAAGCCUGGGAAACUGGGUCUAAUACCGGAUAUGACUCCUCAUCGCAUGGUGGGGGGUGGAAAGCUUUUUUGUGGUUUUGGAUGGACUCGCGGCCUAUCAGCUUGUUGGUGAGGUAAUGGCUUACCAAGGCGACGACGGGUAGCCGGCCUGAGAGGGUGACCGGCCACACUGGGACUGAGACACGGCCCAGACUCCUACGGGAGGCAGCAGUGGGGAAUAUUGCACAAUGGGCGGAAGCCUGAUGCAGCGACGCCGCGUGAGGGAUGACGGCCUUCGGGUUGUAAACCUCUUUCAGUAGGGAAGAAGCGUAAGUGACGGUACCUGCAGAAGAAGCGCCGGCUAACUACGUGCCAGCAGCCGCGGUAAUACGUAGGGCGCAAGCGUUAUCCGGAAUUAUUGGGCGUAAAGAGCUCGUAGGCGGUUUGUCGCGUCUGCCGUGAAAGUCCGGGGCUCAACUCCGGAUCUGCGGUGGGUACGGGCAGACUAGAGUGAUUAGAACCGUUC
rnacentral:rRNA from 1 species